rnacentral:rRNA from 1 species
UACGUAGGCAGCAAGCGUUGUUCGGAAUUACUGGGCGUAAAGAGUGUGUAGGCGGUGUUCCCAGUCUGUUGUGAAAUCUCCCGGCUUAACUGGGAGGGUGCAGCGGAAACUAGAAUGCUAGAGGGUGGGAGAGGUAAGCGGAAUUCCUGGUGUAGCGGUGAAAUGCGUAGAUAUCAGGAGGAACACCUGUGGUGUAGACAGCUUACUGGGACCACUUCUGACGCUGAGACACGAAAGCGUGGGUAGCAAACAGG